ACACUGGCUUGAUUUACUGUAGCUUUGUAGUAAGUUUUGAAACUAGGAAGUGUGACUACUCCAUCUUUGUUCUUCUUUUUCAAGAUUGUUUGGCUCUUCUGGGCCCAUUGCACUUAACACCUAAAUUUUAGGAUCAACUUUGAUUUCUGCAAAAAAAAGGUACCUGGGAUUUUGAAAGGUAUUGUGCUGACUCUGUAAAUCAGUCUGGGAGAUAUUGCAUUUUAACAAUAUCAAUUGUUCCAAUCCAUGAAUAUGCACUGUCUUAACACUUAUUUAGAUCUUUAAUUUUUUUCAACAAAAUUUUAUACUUUUCAAUUUAAAAGUCUUGCAUUUUUUUGUUACAUAUUACUAAGUAUUUUAUUCUUUUAGAGAGUGGGAUGGGAAUAGGGCAAGUGAAAACACCACAAAACUCACUGUUUUCACAGAGAUUUAGUCAUUUUUAUUGAAUAAAUGCUCUUCCAAUUGUUGUAAAUUGUUAAUUUGCAAAGUUUUGAAACAACCAUUCUUGCCAGUGUUCUCACUUCUUUCAUGGAGGAGUGGAUUUUCUGAAUUUUUUCUGACAUACCAGAAAUCAGAACUGUCUAUUAUUUAUACCACUGUCUUAUUUUAGUUAUCUGCCUGGUCUCCGAGGACAUUUGAGACAUCAAGGCAGGUGACUCAAACAGAGAGGUAUGACACAGAAGUUCAUCAGGUCACCAGGCAUCGUCAUGGCCAACGAGGUUAUAUUAACAGAUAUAUUGGGUUAAAGUUACCAAUAUGGAGGCCACAGGUAGGGUAGUGUCAAGGAGUCAUACUAGGAGUUGUUCCUCAGUGAACUGAAAGUCAAAGAGCCAUGAAGUGGCCAAUAAUCAGGUUUGUUUCUUGAUAGAGGCUCAAACCAAGAGGAAUAUCAUUACACCCCAAAUCUAGGAGAGACAAAUGCAUCUCAAAUGUCAACAUUAAUCAAUUCAUAGUUGUGACCUGGAGCUCGGUGUUGAGAAGACUCUAAUCACAUGUGGGCUUAGUGCCAAUCACUGAAUCAAUCAAUCAGAUCAACUAGAAAAUAAUGGCCACUCAAAUAGGGUGAAAGAGGAGAUUAAAGGGAUUAUUUAGGGAACUAUGGACAGAGUUAAAGGAAGUUAAUUAGGAGGGUCUUGUACUAUAGGCCAGAAAUAGUGAUUGCUGCUCUGAAGCCUGAACAACCUUCAUUCAGCAGGAUUGAUUAAAGAAAUGAGGGUUUUAGUGACUGAUGUAGAGUGGUUUUGUUUUUUUUUGGGGGGGGGGCACACCUGUGGCAUAUGGAGGUUCCCAGGCUAGGGGUCUAAUUGGAGCUAUAGCUGCCAGCCACAGCCACAGCCACAGCCAUGCCAGAUCUAAGCCAGAUCUGUGACCUACACCACAGCUCAUGGCAAUGCCAGAUCCUUAACCCAUUGAGCGAAGCUAGGGAUCAGACCUACAACCUCAUGGUUCCUAGUCAGAUUCGUUUCUGCUGCGCCAUGACAGGAACACCUAGAGUUCUUUUUUUGGCCACUUCUUGUACCAUAACUGAGGUAGGUUGUAAUAAAAUCCAUACUUUUCCUUAAAAAUUUCAGAAUCUCUUGAUUGUAAAUGCUUGGGUAUAUUUUUAUAGGUGAACAAAUGCAAUUUAUUAUUAACUUCUAUCAAACAUUCCAACUCCAUCUAAUAUAUGAGAGAUUCUAAAUUACCAAGGAGCUGCACUAUAGAUUUAAUUAUCUUGCUGAAUCCUUACCACAAAUAAAUCAGCAUUGCAUUGUUUGAAAGCCCCCAAGACCACUCUCACUUCUGACACUAACUGCAAAUUUGAGGGUACCCAAGAUCCACCUCAGGUUCAAUAAUUUGCUAUGACCCGCGGAACUCACUAGAAGCUCUUAUACUCACAGUUAUAAUUUACUACAGUGAAAAGAUAGACAUUAAAAUCAGCAGAGACAAGAGGCACAUAGGCCAGUGUCAGGAGAGAUCUAAGCAUGACCUUCCAGUCUUCCCAGUGGAUUUGUGGACCCUGGUAGCUUCUCUUAGAAAUGCAUGAUAGAUACAUGAAGUAUUGCCAACUAUGACCCUUACCUGAGUUUUUGUGUCCAGAGUUUUUGUUGAGGUUGGUUGUAUAGUCAUGGUUAACUGUCUGUAUGGCUGACCUUAAUUCUCCAGCCCCUUCAGAGGUCAAACUAAUAUUGCAUGGUCCAAGACCUCCCACCAUAAGUCACGUGUUGCAUAGACCAUCUGGUGUUGUCUCCAGGUUCCCAAGUAAAUAAAGACACUCUUAUCAGGCAGGAUGUCCCAAGUAUCAGAAGUUACGUCACAGGAGCCAAGGGCAAAGGCUAGCUCCUUAGACAAGUUUAAUCCUUUACCACACAAGUAUGUAGAGUUAUAGAAUCGUAAUUUAAAAAACAGAAUGGGGGAUUCCUUCAAGCAGGCAGACAUCUGAUAGGGAUUUUCCUAUUGUCCUUGUAGCUCAUUGAUAUUUAGUGUAUGUAAGAACUAUUAUACACAAAAUUUUGCAUGCUGGACAUCCUGGGAUAUGUGAGGGAAUUUCAAGGGACUUUUUACUUUACAGCUUAACUUAUAAAAAUAUCUUGUCACUAUACCUAAUUCCCACCACAAUGAAAUACAUAAGCAGCUGCUGCUAUAAAGAAAUAAAAACAAAAGCAAACAAAAACACCCUAAAUAAAGAAAUUGUUUUUACAAAAGAAUAUAAUCUGGAAAUUGAACUUCUGCUACAGUUACAAUUUACAUUAUAGCCAUGAACAAGUUCCUGUUGUGGCUCAGCAGGUUAGGAACCCAACUAGUGUUCAUGAGGAUGCAGGUUUAAUCCCUGGCCUCACUCAGUGGAUUAAGGAGCUGGUGUUGCUAUGAGCUGUGGGGUCAAAUUGGAGCUGCAGCCACCAACCUAUGCCACUGCCAUAGUAACGCCCGAUCUGAGCCAUAUUUGUGACCAACACCACAGCUCACAGCAAUGUCAGAUCGCUGACCCACUGAGCAAGGCCAGGGAUUGAACUGCAUCUUCACAGACACCGGUUGGGCUCAUUUCUGCUGAGCCACAGCAGGAAUUCCCUGUCCUUAUUCUUGAAUUAGACUUUAGUUAAGCAUGGAAUUCUAUGUCGACCAUAAUUGCCUUCAGCAUUUUCAAGAUAUUACCCCACUAUCUUGCACCUAUUGUUGUGGGUGAGAAGUCCAUUGCCAUCAUGAUUGUCUUGCCUUUAUAGGCAAGAAUCUCUUUUCUCUAUUUGCUAUUAAAGCUUUUUCUCUUUACACCUGAUGUUUUGUGGUUUCACUAUUACGUGUCCAUUUCAUUUCAUUUUUCUAGCACAAAAUUGUUUGUUCCUUCAACUUGAAGGCUCUCAUUUUUCUUCAAUCCUAGAAAAUUCUCAACCAUUUUCUAGAAUAAGGUCCUGCUGCAAGCGAUACAAAGAAACAAGCAAAGCCCAGAAAACCUCUAAGUUAGUGUGGCUUAUACAAGAUAGAAAUUUCUUUCUCACAUAAAUUAGGUCUUCCAGGUAGUGUCUGAUGAUGUCAGGGGUUCAGGGACUCUUCUAUUUUAUUGAUCCACUAUCCUCAGCAAGCACAUUCUCUACUCAAACUUAAACUAUAACAUCUGCAUUCCAGUUGCUAGGAAGGAAGAAGUACAGAGACGUGCCUACCUCCUCCUUAUAAAUACAUUUCUGGCAGUUGUAACUGCUGUUUUAGUUACAUCUCAUACAUAGUCAUAUGGUCAAUCUAGAUACAUGGGAAGCUGGCAAAUACUGUCUUUAGUUGGGCAGCUGAAUUCCCAGCUAAAACUGGGUGAUUCUAUGAAUAAGGCAGAGGGGAAGAUCGGUUCCUGGGAACAACUAGUAGUCUCAAGCAUAGCCAUUUUUAUGAUUGCAAAUUUCUCUCACAUAUUCUCUAUUAUGUCUCUCUGAAACUCUUAGUAAUGUUCUAUUCUCUUUGCCUCUUUUUAAUGUUAUUUUUGUGUUACUUUCUGUGAGAGUUCUUCAGCUCUCAUUCCAAUUUACUGAUUUCCUUCCUUCCUUCCUUCCUUCCUUCCUUCCUUCCUUCCUUCCUUCCUUCCUUCCUUUCUUUCUUUCUUCACCAUGCCUGCAGCAUAUGGAAGUUUCCAGUCCAGGAAUUGAAUCUGAGCCAUAGCUGUGAUCUACGCUACAGCUGUGGCCAGAUCCUUUAACCCACUGCUCCAGGCAAGGGAUCAAACCUGUGACUCCAUAGCAACCCAAGCUGCUGCAGUCAAAUCCCAAACCUACUGUACCACAGCAGGAACUUCAAAUACCUUCUCUCUCUUUUUAUUUUUGGCUGUACCCACAGCACAUGGAAGUUUUAGGUUCAGUUUUUUUAGUAUAGUUUUUAUUCUCUUAUGUCUCAAAUCAUUCAAGAAUACUUACUUCAUAGUCUCUUUGCUCUGUAUCUGUAAUUCUUGGGGGAUAAAUUCUGCUAACUUCUUCCCAUAGAAGACAUAGAUAUAUAGAUACAGAUAUACAACAUAUACACACGUAUGUAUGUAGAUAUCUGUAUAUAUGUGUAUGUGUGUGUACGCACAUGUGUAUUUUUUUCAUCUCAUCUUGGGUAUUUCUAUGUUUCAUGGUUGUAGGAUUGUAAAGUUUAUGAUGGAGCAAUUUUGUUUUGUCUCUACCAGUGUCCUUCACGUUUCCCUGGUUCAAACCAGUUUUUCUGUUGCUACCUCAGUUUGAGUUUCCUGCACUGUUCAUGAAUACACAUUUGGCCCCUACUCUUGCGUAUAGCUCAGUUUGGGAGGUAUUUCAUGUGGGUGGUAAUCAGUCACUUUCUCCCCUAAUUCUCAGGCUAAUGGGAGGAUAUAUUCUAAAAUACUUUUCACAGCACAAAAGCUAUUCUGGAAUCCUGGUUCUAUGCUCAGCUCCAACUCCACUGCUCUUGGGAUCUCAAUUCCCCUUCCAGCUCAGCUCAGCUAUUAAAAUCCCAGGUCCUGGAGUUCCUGUAGCAGUUCAGUGGAAAUGAACCCAACUAGUAUCCACGAGGAUGCAGGUUCAAUUGUUCUAUCCCUGGCCUCAUUCAGUGGGUUAAUGAUCCGGUAUUGCUGAGAGCUGUGGUGUAGGUUGAAGUCAUGGCUCAGAUCAAGCACUGCUGUGGCUGUGGCAUAGGCUGGCCCCCAGCCUGGGAAUUUCCAUAUGCCAUAGUUCUAGCCCUUAAAAAAGAAAUUAAAAAAAAAAAAAAGGAAAAAAAAAA
rnacentral:lncRNA from 1 species